UUAAUAAUUUAUAUAAAAUAUUUUGAUGAAUAUUUAUAUAAUAUUAACAUAAUUCAUAUUACUAUAUAUUUUAGUAUAUGAAAUUUUACUUUGAGAAAAUUAGAGUGCUUAAAGCAGGCAUAUGCCUUGAAUACUCCAGCAUGGAAUAAUAUUAAAGAUUUUUAUCUUUCUUAUUGGUUCUAAGAUAAGAAUAAUGAUUAAUAGGGACAGUUGGGGGCAUUUGUAUUUAACAGUCAGAGGUGAAAUUCUUAGAUUUGUUAAAGACAAACUAAUGCGAAAGCAUUUGCCAAGGAUGUUUUCAUUAAUCAAGAACGAAAGUUAGGGGAUCGAGACGAUCAGAUACCGUCGUAGUCUUAACCAUAAACUAUGCCAACUAGAGAU
rnacentral:rRNA from 1 species